AAUAUAAUUAUGGUGGCUUUGAAGGAUAGAAUAAUUCGAUCUCUUCAAUUGUAUAUAUUUCAUUUUAUUCUUCAUUUUGUGGAUAGAACUGGACCAAGAUAAGUCCUUGUUUGCAAGAUAAUUAGUUUAUUACAAUUAGUACAGAUAUUAGAUUUAUCAUUCCAACACGCAUCAUCAUUUCCAAUAUCAUUCUAAUACCGAGUCGAAUCAAGUGACUCGAACGACAACAUUUGACCGAAUCGAGACGAAAGUUUCCGAGUCGUUUUCAAGUCAAAUUACCUUCCACUUGAAUUUCCAAUUUCCGCUCGCUCGUCAAAUUCAAGAACUAACUCCGCCCGAUCCGGACAAAGAGACGCUUUCAACGUCUCGAUCAAACUUAAUCUUACCACGUGUAUGCACGUGCGCUCUUCUGCAAUCGGGAAAGUAACAAGUGCAUUCUCUCUCUCUGUCUCUCUCCGCCGAAGGAGGAGAGGUGCGUUGAAAAGAAUGAAGGUUGGCCAAGGAACGAACGGUCGAACAGAUAUCCCGGCUCGUGAAUAAACUGCCGAUGGCAAGGCCACGACUAAUGGCCGCCAGUCUGGCGUCGAUAUUCCCGCUUUUGCACACACGAUCCAACGAUCCGACGUUCUAACCUCCGCUUCGUGUGGCUUCCUCUUUCGCCCGCCCACCUCUCCUCGCUGAUCCCAACACCGUCCAAUCGGUAAUUCAGUUUUACGACGCUCGCGACACCUUCGAGAUCGCGAUCACAGAAAGAAGGAAAAAUGGAAAAUAAGAAAAAGCGACGUGGCCUGAAGCGCUUGAAAAAUUUGCGACUCACGGCAUUCGCACGCGAUUACUCCACUCGAUCCGCUGGUUUAAUUGAUUCGACGUGUAUUUGCCCGCCUUGAUUUUCAUCGUGAUACGAAAAGUGGAUUUUAAUAAGAUGUUUUUAAUUAAUAGAUGAUGAGAAACUUACAAAGGUUCGAGAUUUUUCUCGUCUCUUCUUCUUUUUCUUCUUCUUUUUCGAUUUGUAAGAACCACGAAUUUGAAUUUCUCGAUGUGCGACAUUCUCGUUGCAGUGUUUGAAUUAUUCGUGGAGAUUAUGGGUUAUUUUGGAUUUUCUUCUCUCUUUAAAUCCUAAUUCGGUAUCGGUUUGAAAACGAACAUUGAUUUUCUGUUGUAAGAGAAAUAUAAAUUUUCCUUCCUGUAAAAUAAUCAUCAUGAGAGAAAAUGUUGGAUAAAUUCGCGGGGCGAAUAAAUAUCGUAAGUUUGAUAAAUGUCAUGCGUUUGAUUUUACACGCGAUGCAAUUAGUUAUCGCGAAGAUAAUGACAAACGGAAUCAAAAAUCAAUUGUACGAUGAUUGUACAGCGAUCGUUCAUUAUGUCGUUAUUAUAAUAGAAUUAGAUAUUCGAUACGAGGGAUCAGAUACUUAAUCGACCGUUCAGCUAAUGUCGAAACGUCAAGAUAAACGUAUGUUGACAGAUCGCAACGUUGCGAACGAGAUAUUAUUGGAUCGAUAGUUUUCGCGAUAAUUGAACUCGAAGCGUUCGGAAAAAAGAUAUUCUCGACAAGAUCACUUUGUCACAAAGCGAUGCGUAAAAUCAAGGUUAGGUCAUUUACAUGGAACUCGCGUUUUUAAAUUAUUGAAAAAAUGAUAAAUUACGACGAAGAUAUAUUUUGCACCGAUUGGUAUUCGUUACUAAAAUGAGCAAAUACUGUUUAGAACAUGUACGUUAUAAUAAAAAGAGAAAGAAAUGUUGAGGUUUACGUCCUCCGCGAAAUCAGGAGGUUAAUGAAAAAUCUACACAAGUUAAAAUUUGAAAGAGAGUAACGAAAAAUGAAAAAGAUAUGUAAGGAUCCAAAAUGUCCGGCAAACCAUCCUUGUAUAAAGAAUUAUAAUGCGAGUACUUCGACAACUACGUUAAUUAAUAACAAGAAAAAGAAGAAAGAAUUAAAAAAGCAGAAGAAAUUGAAAAAAAACCGAAUAAUUUAAACAAAAAAUGCCAAACUCCGAAAUUACCAAGAGAAAGUACUACAUCAUUGUCGAUAUGUCGAAUUAAUACCUGCAACUCGAUCGCGAAACCAAAAAUAAUGUGCCAAUGUCCGAAAAGAAAAAUUCCCAAAGAAAGUAAGGCAAAAAAAAUAAUUGAUAAAGUAACUCCAAAUUCACGAUGCAUGAAGAUUAAAGAUCAACCAAUUUCUUGUAUAUGCGUUAAAAAAUCCAGUUCAGAAGACUUAAAAAAAUUGUGCAAAUGUUCGUCAACGUGCACAUUUCUUUCAAAAUACAAUGACUGUUGCUGCAUAAGGGAAAAAAUAAAAAAGAAAAAAAGAAAAAUGAUAAUUCGAUAGAUUAUUGCUAUUCUAAUAAAGAAAUGCCAUUUAAAGGAACAUUAUGCACAAAAUACCGUGAACAAAGGUUAGAAUCAUUAAUGUAAUAAAUAUUUUUAUAUAAUACAUGAAAUAACGUUUUCAUACUUGAAAUUUAGUCCAAAGAAAAAUAUAUUUGUCAAAGGAUUCUCCAAGUUACGUAAUAAACUACAAAAACUUAAAACUCGGUAUGAAAAAGUAAUAUACACAACACGAUUAUUGACAAAGUAUCGCUAACAACUUUAUUUUUAUUUUAGUAAAAAAAGAAAACGUGAAUAUGUUGAACACCGAUGUUGUGGAAAUUCUUUUCGAACUCGAAAUCAAAUUAUGGUAAAUAUUUGUGAAAUUAAAUGAGAGAGAACAAACGCGAUAAUAAUAUGUAAUAUUAUACUGGAAAAAAAUUAAACUCAUAUUCUUUCAUUUCAGGAGAAAAGGAAAGUGAAAUUUUGCUAAUAAAGGUAACGAUGAAAACGGUACUUCUGAUAAAUAUUUCAUCUGUAUUUGCUUACAAAAUCAAUAUAGCUGCUCAAAGGCUCGAUGUAUAAGCGAAUGGGGUUUCUUUGUGUUGGUUAUUAUAUAGCACGAAAUCCACUCGUAUACAACGGGACUAAGAGAUAUUUUGAAUUUAUAUUGGCUUGUAUAAUUACGUAAUAGUGAAAUUAUAAAUCGACUUGUAUGAAAUAUUAAAUAAGCGUCCAAUGUCAAUCAUUUCUUACAGGAUGUAUAGUAAACUUAAAGAUUCCUUUAUGCUAAA
rnacentral:lncRNA from 1 species